GACCGGGUGGGCGAGGAUUUCAGCCAGGAGCCCCGCAAGGCUUCGCACGGUCGGUUCAAAUCCGACCCCCGGUCUCCA
rnacentral:tRNA from 1 species